rnacentral:rRNA from 1 species
AGCGAACGCUGGCGGCAGGCUUAACACAUGCAAGUCGAACGCCCCGCAAGGGGAGUGGCAGACGGGUGAGUAACACGUGGGAACGUACCCUUUGGUUCGGAAUAACUUGGGGAAACUCAAGCUAAUGCCGGAUAAGCCCUUAUGGGGAAAGGUUUAUUGCCGAAGGAUCGGCCCGCGUCUGAUUAGCUAGUUGGUGAGGUAAUGGCUCACCAAGGCGACGAUCAGCAGCUGGUCUGAGAGGAUGAUCAGCCACACUGGGACUGAGACACGGCCCAGACUCCUACGGGAGGCAGCAGUGGGGAAUAUUGGACAAUGGGGGCAACCCUGAUCCAGCCAUGCCGCGUGAGUGAUGAAGGCCUUAGGGUUGUAAAGCUCUUUUACCCGGGACGAUAAUGACUGUACCGGGAGAAUAAGCCCCGGCUAACUUCGUGCCAGCCGCCGCCGUAA